UAAUGCGACCAAAACAAACUGCGAAUACAAGUUUGAAAUGUUGUUUUUCAUGAAAUAAAACAAUGUUGUGUUGUGCUUAUGGUUGUUCAAAUAGGCUAGCGUAAAAGCAGACUGGAAUUACAUUUCACAAGUAAGUUUAUAUCAAACCAGGAGCUUCUAUAAUUGAAGUGGUGAGAGGAAUAAGAGAAGACAAGACAUGUCUCAAGAAAGAAGAUGAGAUAGUUAUAGUAGGGUGAAUCCAUGUAAAAGUGAGCCUGAACAUAAAAUAAAAUGGAUAAAAUAUUAAAUAUUACAUUCGCAUCUUAUCAUUUAUGAUUAGAGCCAAGAUUUUAUGGUGUUAUGAAAAAGGACUUUUCGUCAUUAAGAAUUGUGGAUUUCGUCUUUAUCGUCAUAAAAAAUUAAAACACAUGUAAUAACAUGUACACACCUAGCAGAGCUGCCUUGAUCAAAUGCUUCAAUAAUUCGUGGUUAGAGACUUAAAAUAUGCACAUUAAACAAUACUAUGUUCAGAGUACAUAAAAAAUUAACAACUAAAAUAUUUAGUAUUCUUAUGCAGGUAAGUACUGUUCCUGAGUUCAGGAGAGAGUCUAAAUUAAUUAAAAUAGAAACUACAGUUAAACUUUUGUUCUAUAAAUGCAAUAUAAUUAAGCUCAGGAAAAAGCCACCAUUGUCAGCAGUUCAGCAUUCUCUGGUUUUAGAGAUCUUCUUCUGUCACUUACAACUACAGAAUACUUAGAAAAAGAUCUUUCUGAGUCCACAUUCGUUGCAGGUAUCCAUAUUAACUUUAAAGCAGCAGCUGCAAAUUCAGGAUAAUCCACUUUCAUUUUGUUUACUUUAUGGGCCCAACAUUGUAUGUGGUACAUGUGGUCACCAAAUACACCUUCAAGGGUACCAGCAGAUUUUGUCAUGUACCUGGCACUAUCUGUAACAUACGCAAUUAUGUUUUCUUCCUUGACUUCAUAUUUGUAGCAUACAUCAAUCACUGCCCGAGAACAACAAACAGCAUUUGCUGCAUCAAGGACACAAGAAGCCCCUAAUAUAACAUCUUGUUCAGCACAUGGUUUCAGAAUUUUAAACAAGAUGUUGAAAACACAAUUAUUACUCUUGUCAGUGGUUUCAUCUGCGAGUAUGACCACAUCUUGCCCCAAGAGCUACUGCUUGAUUUCCACUUCUUUUUUCUCUCUAAGUAGGGGAAUGUACUUUUUCCUCAUCCAAUCCGCUGUUGGAAGAUCACCAGCAUCACUUACAUGCUUCUGCAUCCAUGCAGUCAGCUUGCUGUUGUCAAGUUUCUCAAGAGGAAUAUCUGCAGCUACAAAGGCUUCAACAGUUUCGAGAACAAAAUCUUCCUUUUGUUUUUUUGCGCAUAUUUGCGCCACUCCUGCUUCUGGGAUAGAAAGCUGUCGUUUCAAAGUGCAUGGGGAUCGUUUAGCUUUUACAUGUUUGUCGCUAAUUAUGUGUUUGUUUACCGUGUCCUUACGUUCAUGCUCCAAACGGCAAUUACAAUAUUUACAGAAAAGUAUUUUUCCGUCACUGACAUAUAAUCCCUCAUUCUUAAACUCGUCAGCACGUGAUGCCGCAGUAGCUUUAUUUUUCGGCAUGAUUAAGAAAUUUAGCUUUCAUUUAUGCACGUCAUUUGUAAACAAAGCCCGGAGGUACAAAAAACUAGUAUUUACUGAAGUUUUAGCGAAAAAAUAAACCGCGGGAAGCCUACUUUUUACAGGCGAGAGAGCCAUAUACUCAACCCGAAGUAAAAGGUUAGGUUAUGUCAGGUCAGUGAAAUAAAUGUUUUUAUUUAUUUUCCGGGAGGGUUGGGUAGGUAAGCGUUAUUUAAAAUAUUUAAUGACCGUAAAAUAAAUAAAUCCUUGCAAUAAGGUGCUUUUUCAUUAGCGAUCGGAAAACUUCGAUUAUGUUACGAUUUUGGCACUCUCGCCUGUGAAGUGUGAAAUGAAAUGAAGGCUUCACGGUAAACUGCUUAUUCAACAAGCACACAAAAUUGCGUUACAGUGAAAUUUCAUUAAAUAUUAAGUGAUCAUUACAUAUCAAUGUUCGCUUUUAUUUUAUUUUCAUACGUAUUUAUUUAAUGAAUGCAGUUUUUUUUCACGUGUAUUUUUCAAAGGAUACAGCAAACAAGGCGCUGAGACUUUUCACGUUGUUGUGUUUGUUAACUUGAUAAUUUUAAGUUUACGAUCGUCAGUUGGUAAUAUUGCGUGAUCUCUAGUGGCUAGAUGCGUUUAAAAACUCUAACCUAACUCCGAUAACGAUCUUUUUUUGUUCGUGAAAUCGUCAAUUUUUGUGAUAUCUUGUAAUUUUUUAAGAUGAAUAAUUAACGCAUUAAAUAACCACCACACUGCAGUUGAAUGACGACCAUUUCUUCUACAAACAGAUACGGAAUUUUUGUCAAUCAACCAAUAGUCGGUAGUUAACGAUUUAAAUCAAUAUUGAGGUGUUUAUUUGUGGUUAGAAAACAUUUCGCAUUUUUCGCGGUUUGGGAUGAAUUUCGCGUGAAAAUUCGCGAUUUCGCAUAAAACCAUAUAAUCUUGGCUCUAUUUAUGAUUCAUGUUAUGUGCCUAAACAAAUAAUUUUACUUUUAAAUUAAAUUUGAUUGUAAUUUUUAAUGCUUGUAUGUUUGCAUUCAUUGUUUAAGUAGUGUCACACCUUUUUAGGGUGUUUUGGCAACAGUGAUAUUUGCUACAAUGUUUACAUCAUUCAGCUGAACUAUUUACAAAUUGAACCAACAAGUCUACUCUCAUUGAAACUGGCAAAAACUUUUGAUAGAGAUAAAAUGAGUUCAACAGAUCCGAUGAGAAAGCUCUGUGAGAAGCUUAAGAAGGACAUAGAAAGGAGAGAAGUACACUUGCAAAAGGAACGGGAAAGGGACAAGAAAAGAAGAGAGAGUGCGAAAAAACUGAUAUCCAAGUAGAAGUUAAAAUUAAAGCGUUUACAGGAUGCAGAAAGGCAAAAACGGUGUAGGCAAAGCAAAAAGGAAAAAAGUGGAAUAAAUGUUAAACCAAACCUAGGCUCAUAUCGCUGCCCACAAUCUCUCGGCAAGGCAGUAAAUCGAAUAAAAAAAGUAUUACCACACAGCCCAGGGAAAAAAAUGGCAGUUAUAAGAAAGUUAGUACAUGACACACCGGAAGUUGCAAAACAUUUACUAGAAGAGAAAAGUGAGCAAAAGAGAUCCACUUCUUGCGAUGAAAUGUGUCAACGUACUGUCAAAUAGUUUUAUUGUUGUGACGAUGCGAGCCACCAGGCAUCAAAGAUGCCAUAUUAAUCAAAGAUUCUAAAAUGGAUGUGCGUUAUUCUGUACAGAAGAGACACAUGAUAAUGACUGUUAAGGAAGCAUUUAUCUUGUUCCGAAUAGAGUGUCCUGAAAUAAAAAUAAAGCGAUCAAAGUUCCAUGAACUUCGCCCCAAACAUGUUCUUUUGUCUUUGCAAAUGCCUCACAGUGUUUGCAUUUGCAGAUAUCACUCUAACAUCAGUUAUCUUGUUGAAUCCAUCAAUAAGAAAGUUAAAACCUUUCCAGGUAAUAUAAAUGAACUGAUAAAAAACUCAUGUUGUGAUUUAUUGAAUGAGCAUGUGCAACUGGUUUAUGUGAGGUCUGUGCUAAUGAAAUCUUUCUUCCCCAUGACUGUGAUGUUAAUUCAACCAUUAUUUGGAAAAAAUGGAGUGAAUCAGACAAUCGACCAAAGCUUGUAGAGAUCAAAGGUCCUUUACAGAAUGCUGUUAAGGAGUUGAAUGCACAACUGCCGACAUUUAAGGUACAUGCUUAUGUUAAGAAGGUUCAGGCUAAGUCAUUUGAGGAAUGCAAGUUAAAUGCUCAAGACAACCACGUUGUUAUACAAGUUGACUUUGCUCAGAAUUACCUUGCUACCUCACAAGAUGAAAUCCAAAGUGCACAUUGGGCUCAUUCACAAGUAACCUUAUUUACCUGCUGUGCCUGGAUAAAGAAUGAGACACGUUCAAUCGUAAUUGUCAGUGAUGAAUUGACUCAUGACCAAUGCUCUGUGUGGGUAUAUCUAAGGGAAAUUUUUGCUCUGUUAAAGAAACAUUUUCCACAAAUAAAAAAAGUAACUAUUUUUUCUGAUGGGUGUGCAGCUCAGUUUAAAAAUAAAUUUACACUCUCCAAUCUCUGCUUCAUGAAACCUGAUUUUGACAUGGAGGGUGAGUGGGUAUUCUUUGCCACAUCCCAUGGGAAGGGGGCUGUUGAUGGAAUUGGUGGCUGUGUGAAGAGACUGGUUUGGAAUGCAGUAAAGACAAGAAAAUGUAUAGUGAACUCUGCUGUAGAUUUUUUUGAAUGUGCAAAAACUGUUUGUCGAAACUGUAAAAACUGUUUAUGUGACGUCACAGACAAUUGCAGAGAAUAGGGAAAUGUUAGAAAAGAGAUGGGAAAAUGUAAGACCAAUCCCAGCAUUGCAGUCAAAACAUAUUUUCAAGGUGAACACCGUUAACAGUCUACUUGUAAGACACACAAGUACCUCCAAUCUUGAUAUUUGCCAAGUUUUCAAGAGCAAGGUAGAGGACGUUUAUACAGAUUCAGAUUCUGAAGUGUAUGAAACAGAAGAGAAUUCUAGUGAACUUUCAGAUCAUCAAGAUCAUAAUGCAUCUGACUUGUUUGUAGGUGUAAACAUAGAAACUCUUCAAGUGAAUGACUUUGUCCUGGUAGAAUUUGCAAGUAAGAAUUCCAAGAAAUACUUUAUUGGUCACAUUGAGGGUAAAGAGUUCAGUGAUUUUCAUAUAAAAUUUCUGCGUAAGAAAAGUGAUUCCUGGAUUUUUUUCUUUCCACAACAAAGUGAUAUUUGUCUGGUGUCAGCCAGUGAUAUUGUGAUGAAACUUCCAGAACCAUCAUUACCAGGUGGCACAUUAAGGGCUGCUUCCACCAUGUCAUUCGCAGUAGAUUUGUCUCAAUAUACUGUAGGUUGAUGUUUCAUUUAUAAUUUCAUAUCAUGCAUAGAAAACAAGCCAGAAUUGUACAUUAUCAGUUCCUGUUUAUGUAAUUACUGAGUUAACUCUGAAAAUAAUUUUUUCAUAGAGUGAAUUUGUAACUGUCACACCCGUGACAGAAUAACUUUUUUUUUUAGUAACCAGAUGUAAUAGUUAUUGAAUUUUCAUGGCCUUGAACCCAAUUGUCUUGCUUGAAAUACUUUUUUAUAGUAUCAUAGUUUUAAAUUUUUAAUUCUGAUAAAUUCACAGAAUUUUACAAUGAUAUUAAUGGAAGUGAAAUGAACUGUCUAUUUUUGUCACACCCGUGACAUAACUUUCCCUGUUAUUGAAUCAAAAUAAACACCAAAUAAAACAAAAACCAAUUAGCUCAAAAUGUUCGCCUGGCAUUGUACUACAAAUGUGUGACCAUUAUUUAAAGCUAAAUAAAUCAUAAUGUUGUAAUAAAUGAUUUUGAAGGCUGAAAACUGCUCUGCAAAUGUCACACCCGUGAAAAUGGAUUAACCCAGUAGCAGGUGGAAAUUACGUGUUCAAGAAAGAAUCAAAAAAUGUGUAUCCUAGUUUGAAAUCUGUAUUACCUUCAUUAUGUAACACAAAAGUGGCGGUAUGUACAAUCCCACACAGAUUUGACUUGAUGGAUAACUCAUGUGUAAAUAUAGAGAUAAGGAAAACUAAUGAAAAAAUUCUGACUUUGUAGUAAGUACAAUUUUUUACGAGUAAUAGACGUUAGAGAUUUUCCUAGAACAUGUUUUACAAGCCAUGGAUUGCAUUAUAAUAAGAAUGAUAAGAUAAACUUACCCUCUAAAAUUUUAAGUAAUAUAUCUAGUAAGGUAGUCAAUAACAACAUAAUUCAAUUACCUUGGGUUACAGUUCAAAAAAACUAAUUACAUAUAUGUACAAUGGACCAUCCAAAUUAUUUCUAAAGAAAACUAAUAGAAUUGAUGUUAAUUUUAUACUAUAUCCUGUAACAGAGAGAGGUUGCAAAAGCUAUUGCGUUAUUAAGUAAUAAAACAGCAAUGGAUUUUUAUAACUUAUCAUCUUUUAUUAUUAAAAAAUGUGCAAAACAAAUUUUAAUUCCAAUAACUCAUAUCAUAAAUGCUUCAAUAAGAGAAGCUACUUUUCCUGACAGAAUGAAAAUUACUAAACUAAUACCUUUAUAUAAAAAAGGAAGUAGAACUGAUGUUAACAAUGAUAGGCCAAUAAGUUUACUUCUAAUUUUUUUCAAAAACACAUGAAAAAAUUUCUUGAGACUAAUAAUAUUUUACAUCCUCACCAGUUCGGCUUUCAAAAAAAUAAAUCAACCACAUUGGCUAUUUAUCAGUUAAUUAAAACUAUAUCAAAUAAUUUAGAUUCUGGAGUCCAUGUAUUUGGUGUUUUUUGUGAUUUGUCAAAGGCUUUUGAUUCAGUUAACCAUGAAAUAUUACUUAAUAAACUUGAACAUUAUGGUAUAAGAGAAAAUGAACUUUAAUUAUUUAGCUCUUAUUUAAAGAAAUGUAUAAAAAAGGUACUCUUAAAUCAAAAUGAGGGAGGUAUUUACGCGGAUUGGAGAUGUAUAAAAUCAGGGGUACCACAAGGAAGUAUAUUAGGGCCCUUAUUAUUUUUACUAUAUGUUAAUGAUUUACCUUAUCAAACGGAUGUAAAUAUAAUAUAUUUUGCUGAUGACACAAAUCUUCUUAUAACUGCAGAAAAUAUAUUGGAAUUAAAAAAUAAAACUGAAUUUGAAUUGAUUAACUUGAAUAAGUGGUUUGAUGCAAAUAAUUUAAAACUCAAUAUAAAUAAAACAAAUUUGUUGAAUUUGGUAAUAAAAGACUGCUCGAUCAAGUAUUAUCUAAAUUUGAAGAUCAAGCGAUAAGUCAAACUGAAUCAACUAAAUUCUUGGGCUUACACAUUGAUGAUAAAUUAAAAUGGAAUGAACAUAUCAAUCAAACUAUACAUAAAUUUAGUAAAGCUUGCUACGCCCUCAGAAUUCUUAGCCAAAUUAUAGACAGAAAUUCUCUACGAACUGCAUACUUUGCACUUUUUCACACACACAUGAUAUAUGGUAUUGAAAUAUGGGGUAAUUGUAGUAAUAGUAUUAAACUUUUUAGAUUGCAAAAAAAAAAAAAAACAUACGUAUUAUAUGUUUAGCUGAUACAAGAGCCUCAUGUAAACAUUUAUUUACUGAGUUGAAUAUAUUCCUUUUUUUUUUUCCGGAAUAUAUUUAUAGGUUGCUCUUAUUUGUAAAAGCUAAUAUAAAUAAUUUUGUAGAAUAUGAACAUACUGGACCUUAUAUCACAAGAUAUAACUAUAAACUGAAACCAAAAUUCCAUAACACAACUUUAUUUUCAAAAGGAGUACAACUUAGAGGUAUAGCACUAUUUAAUAAACUACCUAAAGAAAUUAUAUUACUACAAAAUUUUAAUGAUUUCAAAAAAGUUGUUAGAGAAUACAUCAAAGGAAAAAUAUGUAUAUUUAUUUAGCUGGUGAAAUAAACACCUUGUAAUGACAAUGUAAAUAAUAUGUAAUUUGCUAUUGGUAUUAUUAAUAGGACACCCUAUAAAUGAUUCAGAGUAUAUUAAAUGAUAAAUAUGUACUGUUUGUUGUGUUGUGUAAAUUGUAAAAUUUGUGAUUAUUUGUUGAGAGUGUAGAUUAGCAAAAUUCAUUAUAAUGUAAACUUGAUUAUUUUAUUGCAAUUUUAACUAUGUUUAAUUUUUGUUUAUAAUGUGACAAGGCCUAUAUCUCUUGAGCUGUUGGCUCAUGUGGGGAGCUGCAGGUGGAUUGAAAAAAAAUAAAUAAAUAAAAAGAUUGUAUUAUCUGCAUGAAACCAUAAUAUAUUUUCCAUUGAUUUUUGUUGUCCAAAUUAUAUAAAUUUAUGUAAUGUCUUGUUAUUUGUUAAUAAAUUAUAGUUUUUACUUCA